AUUGAACGCUGGCAGCAGGCUUAACACAUGCAAGUCGAGCGAGCGGCAGACGGGUGAGUAAUGUCUGGGAAACUGCCUGAUGGCGGGGGAUAACUACUGGAAACGGUAGCUAAUACCGCAUACUAUCAGAUGUGCCCAGAUGGGAUUAGCUAGUAGGUGGGGUAAUGGCUCACCUAGGCGACGAUCCCUAGCUGGUCUGAGAGGAUGACCAGCCACACGGGAACUGAGACACGGUCCAGAUGCCUACGGGAGGCAGCAGUGGGGAAUAUUGCACAAUGGGGGCAAGCCUGAUGCAGCCAUGCCGCGUGUGUGAAGAAGGCCUUCGGGUUGUAAAGCACUUUCAGCGAGGAGGCGUUACUCGCAGAAGAAGCACCGGCUAACUCCGUGCCAGCAGCCGCGGUAAUAC
rnacentral:rRNA from 1 species